rnacentral:lncRNA from 1 species
UGAAACCAACAAUUGUAGAGAGGAAGUCAAAUGCAUAACUUCUACUUCUUGUACUUGUGGAAUCAGUUAAAGCUUGAGGGUUCAAUUUUGUUCUUGACCUCAAAUAGCUUAAAAGUACAUUAAAUUGUGAAUUUUCUAUGAACCAUUCAAAAAGACUUGGUGAUAUUUUGUGAUAAAAAUAUUAUAAAAUCAGACAUGAAGCUUGAUCAAAUAAAUGUAUUCAUGGAAGAGGCUCAGAGUUACUUAAGAGAUAUUAACUUGAUGAUAUUUUACAUUUAAUAAUUUAAGAAUAAAAUCACACAUUUAUGGGAAGAAACAUUAUCUUCCUUCCAAAGCUAAAAGGCUCCCAUCCAUCCAUCCAUUCAUUCAAACAUUCAUUCAGAAUUUAUUUAUCAUAGGCCUAUUAUAUGCCAGAAAGUCUUUUAGGAAUUGGGAAUAUAGAAAUAAGCAUAACAAACUCCUAUCUUUAUAUUUGAAGAUAUGUUACUUUUUAAUAAAGAGAGACAGAUAAUAUAAACUUAAAAAAUAUAGAAUAUGUCAGGUGAUGAUAAAUGCUAUGAAGGAAAACAAAGUAAGGAAGACAAAGAGUGAAAGGUAUUGGUAUUUUCUACAGAGUGGUCAGAAAAGGCCUCUCCAGGAAAAUAACAUUUGAGCAGAGGCUUUGAAAGGAGUGAGGGAAGAGUUAUGCAGAUAUCUGGGGGAAGACUGUUCCAGAGUGGUUGAGUCAGAGUGAGAGAAUGACAGUGGCAGGAGCUGAGGUUAGUGAGGCAGUGGGGGGUUAGCAAGUUGAAGGCAGAUAAUAUGGGGCUCUGUGGGCCAUCAUGAGGACUUCAGCUUUUACCUCGGCAUGAGAUGGGAAACCACUGGAGAAUCUAGAGGAGAAAGGGAUGAUCUGCCCUUCAACAGGAUCAUCCAGGCUACUCCGGUGAAUAUAGACCAUAUGAGGGCAAAGAUUGGAAGCUAGGUGAGCAGUUAGAAGGCUACUGCAAUAGCUAUGUGAGAGAGAUGAACUAGGAGAGUAGCAGUGGAGAUCUGAGAUACGGCAAAGUCUAGAUAUAACACAAAGGAAUAGCCGACAGAAUUUGCUUUUGGAUUGGCUGUAUUGUAGGAGAGAAAAAAUAGGGUGCAUUUUUGGGUUGAGCAAAGAGAAGAAUGAAGAUUCCUUGUACUGAGAUGGGGAAAACUGCAGGAGGAGUGGGUCUGAAAGAGGCAAGUUGGUUGCCAUGUUGUGAGCAGCCCCCUUGAAAGGCCCAUGUGAUGAUGAAUUGAAACCUCCUGUCAACAGCCAUGUGAGUGACCUAGGAAGCAGAUCCUGCAGCCCAGUCAUGCUUCAGAUGAGGCAUAUCUGAGGCACAGAGAGGUUAAGUUGGGGACUGAAGUGUGGCUCCAGAAUCUAAGUUUCUAACUGCCAUGCUAUGGUAAGUGAGAUUGGUAAGUGCACAUGAGGAACUCGUGAGCCUCAAAGUCAUUCAUCAAUGCAGCAUUCAAUGAUGGCUUACAUGAAGGUAUAGAGGUAGGCUCAUCACUUUUACCCAAACUCAAAAAACUGAAUUUUUAUUAAGAAAGAAGAAAGCAUGGAAGAUGGGCACCACCCUUCAUAAAUGGUCAUUUAAUUGGUUUUGGGUGCAUCCCAGGAAAUCAAAUUUCAAAAGCUCCCUAGGUGAUUCCAAUGUGCAGUUAGUGUUAACAAAUACUGUCGUAAGAAUUUUUCUUUUUAUAUUAAUUUAAAUAUCCAUUAAAAGAUAAGAACAGUUGAAACCACCUUUUCAAAAUGAUGACAGUAAGAUAAAUCUGAUAUAGUUGGCUCCAUCUUGCUUCUGACCUCCUUUGGUCAUUCCUGGAUGUAGGCCAAGGUAACUGUGGGAGGAAUUUAGUUUAUAGUUUAACUUUGAAGCAAGGAUGAUAAUAGUCUCUCCCUAAAACUACUCCCCUCCUUAUUCAGGGGCUGAAAAUACCUUUAUCAAACUAAUAAAAGGCCGCAAGAUUAGGAUUAUGGGAGGGGCCUGAGUUCUGCUAAAAUGUGGGCAUAGUUUUCAUAAUCCCUUUCUGCUCAGGAGUCAUGUGGCCAGAGGUCACAAUGUUUGUGACUUCCCCAAUUGCUCCUAUAGAUAACAUCACAUUGUGGAACCUAAGAUUGUUCUUUUGAGAUGUUUUUCAGACUGACCCCACUGGACUCAUGACUCAUGGACUCAGCUGGUCCUGUGGCCCUACCCAGAAGUGGACUCAGCACACGAGGACCAUUUCCCACACUCCUGUGAUUUCAUCCCCAAUUAUUCAGCAGUACCCUUUCCAUAGCCCCUUGCCCACCAAGUUGUCCAUAAAAACCCUAGCCUCUGAGCUUUUGGGGAGAUGGAGUUGAGUAAUAACUCCAUCUACUGCAUGGCUGGCCUUGUGUCAAUUAAACUUUUUUCUUUACUGCAAUAACAUGGUCUCAGUGAACUGAUUUUGUUCAUGCAGGAGGCAGGAAAAGCCCCUUGGGUGAUUACACAGUGGUUCUCAAAGUAUGGACCUCCAACCAGCAGCAUCAGCAGCAUCUGGAUACUUGCUAGAAAUGGAAAUUCUCUGGCCCUAUUCCAGGCCUUCCAAGUUGGAAACUUUGUGAUGGGGCCCAGCACUCUGUGUUUUAACAAGCCCUCUAGCCUUAAGGAAAACAACUCUGAGGACUUUUGUCACGGACUUGAAAUUCUCAUCUGUGCUUGGACAAGACUCUGAAACAUACCAACUGUGUAUUUUCCUGCCUUUGGUAAAUCUGGAGCUAUUAACUGAUUCUAAAGAACAUUUGACUUAAAAAGACUAUGGAAAGCCCAAAGAAUAAAGGGACACUUGUCACUGGAUUGAAGGCAUAUUCUAAUUUAGGACAAUGUCUUGAGAUCUUUAACUUAACUACAUUUGCAAAGACCCAAUUUCCAAGUAACUGGAACAUUCUAGAUAAUGAAGACCCCAGUGGAUUAUUAUUAGCAAAUGAAAACUGGAUAUCAAGAAGGGCAAAAUCUUCAACCUUAUCAGCAGAAAGAGUUUAUGUAAAAAUAUACCACAUAGAAUAACUAAAAAAAUAAGCAAGUGAUACCUUAUCUGAGCUCAAAAUAUCUGUUUCUUUGCAAAUGGAUAAAGGAUUUAUUAUAUUAUAGCACCUUGAGGACAGAGACUUUAUGUUUCUAACUACCCAUCCCAGCAUCAUCUAGUUCAUUCCUAUGCUGAACAGCCCCUAACACAUUGCCUAAAUAAAUACUAACAUUAUAUGUGUGCAAUGAAGUAUUCUUUUGCUAAAAGCAAAACUUUCAUAUGGUCUUACAAUAAGCCACUUGUAAGACUAGUUUUAAAUAAUUACUGAUACAAAUGCUGCCACUGCCCCCAAAGAAACCUGAAUAAAAUUAUGUUAGGCUGCACUAAUUUCAGUGUCAAGCUAUUUAACUCUGCUGAUAGUCAUUUUUUUAAAGAUCUUUUGAUCUUUAAAUUGAGAGAGUUGAACUAAAUAAUCUUUUAGAUAUCUUCUAGUUUAAUAUUCUAAGAUUCUAGUAAAUAUAUUGUGUUUGGUCAGGUGUGGUGGCUCAUGCCUGUAAUCCCAACAUUUUCAGAGGCUG